CAAGGCCAACAACGCUAGAGCUACUACUGGUGCCGGCGCCGCCGUUGUUCCUAAGAAUCGCCGCCGAUGAUGCCAUGUUUCUCGCCGGAACCAUCACUCCGGCUGGCAUGCUUUCCCUUCAAAAAGCUCUUCAAACCCUAGACACCCUUUUCUCUCUUUCCUCUUUAUAUAUAUAGAGUUCCAAGAUUUUGUCUUUGGAAGGUGGAAAAAAACACACAAGAGUAGACCAAAGGAGCUGACUUUUUAACUUCUACCCACUCUACUAUCUUUUUAUCUUCUCCCCACUCUCUCUCUCUCUCUCUCUCUCUCUCUCUCUCUCUCUAUCUCAAACUAUCUACACAAACGAUAUUAAGAAAAAAUGAGAGCAAACCCUAGAAACCCUUUUGGAAAGUGUACGUGGGUUGAUUGAUUUUGGGGUCAAAGGAUCGAUCUUUGUCGUCUUCAUGGAUGGAGGGUUCUGGUUUUUUUCUGGGUUUUGGAGGUUGGAGAUGAACUUUGAAGGUAUUGGGGAAGAAGAUGAAGAAGAGAGAGAGAUGAA
rnacentral:lncRNA from 1 species